CCGAAUGGGGAAACCCACUGCUUCGGCAGUAUCCUGCAGUGAAUUCAUAGCUGCUGGAAGCGAACCCGGUGAACUGAAAUAUCUAAGUAACCGGAGGAAAAGAAAUCAACCGAGAUUCCCUAAGUAGUGACGAGCGAACGGGGAGCAGCCCUUAAGCUGGAAUGGCUUUAGAAAAACAAUCUGGAAAGAUUGGCCAUAGAAGGUGAUAGCCCUGUAUUUAAAAGGGCCACUCCAGUGAAGACGAGUAGGGCGGGGCACGUGAAACCCUGUCUGAAUAUGGGGGGACCAUCCUCCAAGGCUAAAUACUCCUGACCGACCGAUAGUGAACCAGUACCGUGAGGGAAAGGCGAAAAGAACCCCGGAGAGGGGAGUGAAAUAGAUCCUGAAACCGUGUGCGUACAAGCAGUAGGAGCUCGCAAGAGUGACUGCGUACCUUUUGUAUAAUGGGUCAGCGACUUACUGUUCGUGGCAAGCUUAACCGUAUAGGGGAGGCGAAGGGAAACCGAGUCUGAUAAGGGCGCAUAGUCGCGGGCAGUAGACCCGAAACCGGGUGAUCUAGUCAUGGCCAGGGUGAAGGUGCCGUAACAGGUACUGGAGGCCCGAACCCACGUCUGUUGCAAAAGACGGGGAUGAGCUGUGAUUAGGAGUGAAAAGCUAAUCGAACCCGGAGAUAGCUGGUUCUCCUCGAAAGCUAUUUAGGUAGCGCCUCAUAUGUAUCCUCUCGGGGGUAGAGCACUGUUAUGGCUAGGGGGUCAUCGCGACUUACCAAACCAUUGCAAACUCCGAAUACCGAGACGGACUGUAUGGGAGACACACGGCGGGUGCUAACGUCCGUCGUGAAAAGGGAAACAACCCAGACCCACAGCUAAGGUCCCAAAUUCACUGCUAAGUGGAAAACGAUGUGGAAAGGCACAGACAGCCAGGAGGUUGGCUUAGAAGCAGCCACCCUUUAAAGAAAGCGUAAUAGCUCACUGGUCGAGUCGGUCUGCGCGGAAGAUUUAACGGGGCUAAGCAGUGAACCGAAGCUUGGGGUGCAUAAAACUUGUUUUAUGCGCGGUAGAGGAGCGUUCCGUAAGCCUGCGAAGGUGGAUUGAGAAGUCUGCUGGAGGUAUCGGAAGUGCGAAUGCUGACAUGAGUAACGAUAAUGCGGGUGAAAAGCCCGCACGCCGAAAGCCCAAGGUUUCCUUGCGCAACGUUAAUCGACGCAGGGUUAGUCGGUCCCUAAGGCGAGGGCGAAAGCCGUAGUCGAUGGGAAGCAGGUUAAUAUUCCUGCACCUCGCGUGAGUGCGAUGGAGGGACGGAGAAGGUUAGGUGUACCGGGCGUUGGUUGUCCCGGGGAAAGGCGGUAGGUUUGGAUCUUUGGCAAAUCCGGGAUCCUUUAAGACCGAGCACCGAGACGAGCCUUUAUGGCGAAGUCACUGAUACCACGCUUCCAGGAAAAGCUCCUAAGCUUCAGCUCACGAAGACCGUACCGUAAACCGACACAGGUGGGUAGGAUGAGAAUUCUCAGGCGCUUGAGAGAACUCGGGUGAAGGAACUAGGCAACAUGGCACCGUAACUUCGGGAGAAGGUGCACCCUUUUUGGUGGCUCGUGCGAGCUAUAGCUGAAGAGGGUCGCAGAAACCAGGCCGCUGCGACUGUUUAUCAAAAACACAGCACUCUGCAAACACGAAAGUGGACGUAUAGGGUGUGACGCCUGCCCGGUGCUGGAAGGUUAAUUGAUGGGGUCAGCCGCAAGGCGAAGCUCUUGAUCGAAGCCCCAGUAAACGGCGGCCGUAACUAUAACGGUCCUAAGGUAGCGAAAUUCCUUGUCGGGUAAGUUCCGACCUGCACGAAUGGCGUAACGACAGCGGCGCUGUCUCCACCCGAGACUCAGUGAAAUUGAAAUCGCUGUGAAGAUGCAGCGUUCCCGUGGCAAGACGGAAAGACCCCGUGAACCUUUACUAUAGCUUUACACUGAACGUUGAGUUCGUCUGUGUAGGAUAGGUGGGAGGCUAUGAAACUGUGGCGCUAGCUGCAGUGGAGCCAUCCUUGAAAUACCACCCUGUCGUGCUUGACGUUCUAACCUAGGUCCGUUAUCCGGAUCAGGGACCGUGUAUGGUGGGUAGUUUGACUGGGGCGGUCUCCUCCUAAAGAGUAACGGAGGAGCACGAAGGUACGCUCAGCGCGGUCGGACAUCGCGCACUGUGUGCAAAGGCAUAAGCGUGCUUGACUGCAAGAUCGACGGAUCAAGCAGGUACGAAAGUAGGUCUUAGUGAUCCGGUGGUUCUGUAUGGAAGGGCCAUCGCUCAACGGAUAAAAGGUACUCCGGGGAUAACAGGCUGAUACCGCCCAAGAGUUCAUAUCGACGGCGGUGUUUGGCACCUCGAUGUCGGCUCAUCACAUCCUGGGGCUGUAGUCGGUCCCAAGGGUAUGGCUGUUCGCCAUUUAAAGUGGUACGCGAGCUGGGUUCAGAACGUCGUGAGACAGUUCGGUCCCUAUCUGCCAUGGGCGUUGGAAGUUUGAGAGGGGCUGCUCCUAGUACGAGAGGACCGGAGUGGACGAACCUCUGGUGUUCCGGUUGUCACGCCAGUGGCAUUGCCGGGUAGCUAUGUUCGGAAGCGAUAACCGCUGAAAGCAUCUAAGCGGGAAGCGCGCCUCAAGAUGAGACUUCCCGGGGCACAAGCCCCCUAAAGGAACCAUGUAGACUACGUGGUUGA
rnacentral:rRNA from 1 species